rnacentral:rRNA from 1 species
GUGGUCAAGCUACAAAGGGCUAACGGUGGAUCCCUAGGCACGUCGAGGCGAAGAAGGACGUGGUGACCGACGAAACGCUCCGGGGAGCUGGAAACAAGCAUCGAGCCGGAGGUCUCCGAAUGGGGCAACCCCAAGCACGACCCAUCGAAUCCAUAGAUGGGAACGAGCGAACCUGGCGAACUGAAACAUCUUAGUAACCAGAGGAACAGAAAGAAAAAUCGAUUCCCUCAGUAGCGGCGAGCGAAGCGGGAACAGCCUAAACCGAAGACAUUAAGUCAUCGGGGUCGUGGGACGGCAACAACGAGAGUAGAGGCAGUAGACGAAGCGGCUGAAUACCGCACCAGAGGGGGUGAAAGUCCCGUAGUCGAAACCGCCAACGCCUCAGUCGAAUCCCGAGUAGCACGGAGCCCGUGGAAUUCCGUGUGAAUCAGCGAGGACCACCUCGUAAGGCUAAAUACUCCGACGUGACCGAUAGCGAAACAGUACCGUGAGGGAAAGGUGAAAAGAACCCCGAGCAGGGGAGUGAAAUAGAACCUGAACCCGUUAGCCUACAAGCAGUGGGAGGACGAUUAAACGUCUGACCGCGUGCCUGUUGAAGAAUGAGCCGGCGAGUUAUUAGACGAGGCUAGGUUAAGGCCAAAGAGCCGCAGCCCGAGCGAAAGCGAGUCCGAACAGGGCGUAAACCGUCUCGUUUAAUAGACCCGAACCCGGGUGAUCUAACCAUGUCCAGGAUGAAGCUUGGGUAACACCAAGUGGAGGUCCGAACCGACCGAUGUUGAAAAAUCGGCGGAUGAGGUGUGGUUAGGGGUGAAAUGCCAAUCGAACCCGGAGCUAGCUGGUUCUCCCCGAAAUGCGUUGAGGCGCAGCGGUCGAAGAUGAUGACGAGGGGUAAAGCACUGUUUCGGUGCGGGCUGCGAGAGCGGUACCAAAUCGAGACAAACUCAGAAUACUCGUCAAGAAAGCGACCAGUGAGACGGUGGGGGAUAAGCUUCAUCGUCGAAAGGGAAACAGCCCAGACCACCAGCUAAGGUCCCCAAAUGACCGCUCAGUGAUUAAGGAGGUGAGAGUGCACAGACAACCAGGAGGUUGGCCUAGAAGCAGCCACCCUUGAAAGAGUGCGUAAUAGCUCACUGGUCAAGCGCUCUGGCGCCGAAAAUGAACGGGGCUAAGCGGUCUACCGAAGCUGUGGAACGAGCAAUCGUUGGUAGGGGAGCGUUCCCCGACGGGAGAAGCACUAGCGAGAGCAGGUGUGGACGUCGGGGAAGUGAGAAUGUCGGCUUGAGUAGCGCAAACAUUGGUGAGAAUCCAAUGCCCCGAAACCCUAAGGGUUCCUCCGGCAGGUUCGUCCGCGGAGGGUUAGUCAGGACCUAAGGCGAGGCCGAAAGGCGUAGUCGAUGGACAACGGGUGAACAUUCCCGUACGGAUUGGAGUUGGCGCGGGAGGACGGAGUGGGUCGAGACCAGCCGGAAGUUGGUUACCGGUUCAAGUGUUCGAGACGAAGACCGACGGCGAAAACGUCGGGAGUUAAGGCACGAGUACGAGACCUUACGAGGUCGAAGUGGUACAGAUCGAACUUCCAAGAAAAGCCCCAACCGCCAUAAGCUUCAAUUCCCUGUACCCGAAACCGACACAGGUAGGGAGGUUGAGAAAACCGAGGGGCGCGAGCUAACUCUCUCUAAGGAACUCGGCAAAAUGGCCCCGUAACUUCGGGAGAAGGGGUGCCCCCUGAUGGGGGGUCGCAGUGAAGAGGCCCAGGCGACUGUUUACCAAAAACACAGGUCUCCGCCAAGUCGCAAGACGCUGUAUGGAGGCUGACGCCUGCCCAGUGCCGGAAGGUUAAGGAAGUCGGUCAGCCCUGCGGGGUAAAGCUGGCGACCGAAGCCCCGGUGAACGGCGGCCGUAACUAUAACGGUCCUAAGGUAGCGAAAUUCCUUGUCGGGUAAGUUCCGACCCGCACGAAAGGCGUAACGAUCUGGGCGCUGUCUCGGAGAGAGGCUCGGCGAAAUAGGAUUGUCUGUGAAGAUACGGACUCCCUGCACCUGGACAGAAAGACCCUAUGAAGCUUUACUGUAGCCUGGAAUUGGCUUCGGGCUUCGCUUGCGCAGCAUAGGUGGGAGGCGUGGAAGGUUUCCUUGCGGGGAAACUGGAGCCAUCACUGAGAUACCACUCUGGCGAAGCUAGAAGUCUAACCUCGACCCCUCAGCGGGGGGAGGAACCGUUUCAGGUGGGCAGUUUGACUGGGGCGGUCGCCUCCUAAAAGGUAACGGAGGCGCGCAAAGGUUCCCUCAGGCUGGUUGGAAAUCAGCCGUCGAGUGUAAAGGCACAAGGGAGCUUGACUGCGAGACCUACAAGUCGAGCAGGGACGAAAGUCGGCCUUAGUGAUCCGACGGUUCCGAGUGGAAGGGCCGUCGCUCAACGGAUAAAAGUUACUCUAGGGAUAACAGGCUGAUCUCCCCCAAGAGUUCACAUCGACGGGGAGGUUUGGCACCUCGAUGUCGGCUCAUCGCAACCUGGGGCGGAAGUACGUCCCAAGGGUUGGGCUGUUCGCCCAUUAAAGCGGUACGUGAGCUGGGUUCAGAACGUCGUGAGACAGUUCGGUCCAUAUCCGGUGCAGGCGUAAGAGCAUUGAGAGGCGCCCUCCUUAGUACGAGAGGACCGGGAGGGACACACCGCUGGUGUACCUGUUAUCGUGCCAACGGUAGACGCAGGGUAGCCAUGUGUGGCGUGGAUAACCGCUGAAAGCAUCUAAGUGGGAAGCCCACCUCAAGAUGAGUGCUCUGGUGGAGUUAAUCCAGUAAGGUCCCGGGCAGAUUACCCGUUGAUAGGCGUUAGGUGGAAGUCCUGCAAGGGAUGUAGCCGAGACGUACUAACCGACCGAGCGCUUGACCUC